CCUCCAUUGCAUUUAUACAUGCUUCUUCAUGUUUUUUUUUAUUUUUCUUUCACUUUAAAAAUUCAUAAAUAAAUGAUUAUUGAUCCAAAUAUUGUGGGAAUUUUUGCACCAUGCUCCUUAUUGUUUCUAGUUUUUUAUGAGCAUUUUUCCCCAAUUUGUGCAUGGCUGGAAAAUAUUUUCCCCUAGGGUUUGUGUGCAUAUGUUCAUUUUGUGCUAUACCUUGCCA
rnacentral:lncRNA from 1 species